rnacentral:rRNA from 1 species
GGCAUUGCGGGCAGGCUACACAUGCAGUCGAGCGGGCGAGGUUGCUUCCGGUAACUGAGCUAGCGGCGGACGGGUGAGUAAUGCUUAGGAAUCUGCCUAUUAGUGGGGGACAACAUCUCGAAAGGGAUGCUAAUACCGCAUACGUCCUACGGGAGAAAGCAGGGGACCUUCGGGCCUUGCGCUAAUAGAUGAGCCUAAGUCGGAUUAGCUAGUUGGUGGGGUAAAGGCCUACCAAGGCGACGAUCUGUAGCGGGUCUGAGAGGAUGAUCCGCCACACUGGGACUGAGACACGGCCCAGACUCCUACGGGAGGCAGCAGUGGGGAAUAUUGGACAAUGGGGGGAACCCUGAUCCAGCCAUGCCGCGUGUGUGAAGAAGGCCUUUUGGUUGUAAAGCACUUUAAGCGAGGAGGAGGCUACCGAGAUUAAUACUCUUGGAUAGUGGACGUUACUCGCAGAAUAAGCACCGGCUAACUCUGUGCCAGCAGCCGCGGUAAUACAGAGGGUGCAAGCGUUAAUCGGAUUUACUGGGCGUAAAGCGCGCGUAGGUGGCCAAUUAAGUCAAAUGUGAAAUCCCCGAGCUUAACUUGGGAAUUGCAUUCGAUACUGGUUGGCUAGAGUAUGGGAGAGGAUGGUAGAAUUCCAGGUGUAGCGGUGAAAUGCGUAGAGAUCUGGAGGAAUACCGAUGGCGAAGGCAGCCAUCUGGCCUAAUACUGACACUGAGGUGCGAAAGCAUGGGGAGCAGACAGGAUUAGAUACCCUGGUAGUCCAUGCCGUAAACGAUGUCUACUAGCCGUUGGGGCCUUUGAGGCUUUAGUGGCGCAGCUAACGCGAUAAGUAGACCGCCUGGGGAGUACGGUCGCAAGACUAAAACUCAGAUGAAUUGACGGGGGCCCGCACAAGCGGUGGAGCAUGUGGUUUAAUUCAAUGCAACGCGAAGAACCUUACCUGGUCUUGACAUAGUAGAAGCUUUCCAAAUAUGCAUUGGUGCCUUCGGGAACU